AUCUAGCUGACGAGUCCCAAAUAGGACGAAAUGCCCAUCCUGGAU
rnacentral:hammerhead_ribozyme from 1 species